UUUUUCAUUGCAACGUUGCGCUUCAGUUUUUUUGUUGUUUCGUUGUUUCCUCUUAUAGUUGAUGUGUUUACCUCAGUUUUUGUUUGUAACCCGGAUUUGUUUUCUCUGAUUCGAUUUAUGACUUUCGAACAAUGGUAUACUACUGUUGCCUUUUUCUUCUAAUAAUUGUCUAUACUACUUUGAAUGUUCUUUCAUUAUAAGACAUACCAAUAAGGUGGUGUUGUUUUUUGGGGGAAUUUGCCUUGUUUUCGAAACCGUUUUUCUCAAUAAGAGUUAUACAAAACAAUUUGCUGGUUAAUAUUUGCUUUCUUGUUGUUUAUUUGUAAAUGGAUAGAAACUUUUAACAGAAAAAACUUGUUGAUAAAGAUUGAAUAGAAACGAGAGGCUGAACAUACUAAGGAAACAUUCAAAGUUCAAUAAUGGAGAAGAACCAACAACGUCAUAGCAGUUGUUUACUAGCAUCUUUGUAAAUAUAACUGAAUUUGAUGAGACUGUCGUACAAGUGAGAGGUUUAGCGCUAUAAAACCAGGUUCAAUCCACCAUUUUUAACAUUUGAAAAAUGCCUGUACCAAGGUAGGAAUAUGACAGUUGUUGUCCAUUCGAUUCAUUUGUUUUGUCAUUUGAUUUUGCCAUGAGAUUAGGGACUUUCCGAUUGAAUUUUCCUCGGAGUUCAGUAUUUUUUUGUGAUUUUAAUUCUUACUACAGUUUCUGAUUAUUAUGUAUCUAUUUUUCAAAUCUCAAAUGUAUUUUCAUAAGAUGUUAAAUGUUUGUGUUAAUUGAAGAUUUGCAUCGAACAUUGAAAGGUAGAAUUACUCACAACACUGAGAUUGAGAGUUUACCCAUGUAAUAUUUGGCUUUCCACUUCCUGAUAUUCGAUACCUGCAUUUGUCAACACACUAUUAUAUUGUUAAUGUGUUACGUACAUUGUGAUGUUGUUACCUUUGUGAAAACUUUGUAUAUGUAAUACAUGAUAUUGUUAAAACAUUGUUAAAUAAGUAUUGUUUUUCGUAAAUAAUAUGAUGUUUCGCUUGUAAAGCAUGAAAGAAACACAAAACAAUGCUGAUCGUCAUGAUAAUAAUUAUCAUGAUGACAUAUUCAGUGGUGUUACUAAACUGUUGUUAAACUGGUGUUAUUUUAUCAAAAUGGUCUCACCAUUGACAGUAACACCAAUGAUUUAAGGUGACGUAUUUUAAGAUUUAGUUCCGAAAUAAGUGCUCCAUUCCGCUAUUCUAUAUGUUGUUCCUGGUGCAUGUUUCUAUAAUCAAUAUAUUUCAUAAUUCAAAGUUCAGGAAAAAAAA
rnacentral:lncRNA from 1 species